rnacentral:rRNA from 1 species
UAUCCAACCUGCCGUCUACUCUUGGACAGCCUUCUGAAGGAAGAUUAAUACAAGAUGGCAUCAUGAGUCCGCAUGUUCACAUGAUUAAAGGUAUUCCGGUAGACGAUGGGGAUGCGUUCCAUUAGAUAGUAGGCGGGGUAACGGGCCCACCUAGUCUUCGAUGGAUAGGGGUUCUGAGAGGAAGGUCCCCCACAUUGGAACUGAGACACGGUCCAAACUCCUACGGGAGGCAGCAUG